AUUGAACGCUGGCGGCAGGCCUAACACAUGCAAGUCGAGCGAGCGGCGGACGGGUGAGUAAUGUAUGGGGAUCUGCCCGAUAGAGGGGGAUCACUACUGGAAACGGUGGCUAAUACCGCAUACUAUCGGAUGAACCCAUAUGGGAUUAGCUAGGAGGUGGGGUAACGGCUCCCCUGGGCGACGAUCCCUCGCUGGUCUGAGAGGAUGACCAGCCACACGGGAACGGAGACACGGUCCAGACGCCUAAGGGAGGCAGCAGUGGGGAAUAUUGCACAAUGGGCGCAAGCCUGAUGCAGCCAUGCCGCGUGUAUGAAGAAGGCCUUCGGGUUGUAAAGUACUUUCAGCGAGGAGGCGUUACUCGCAGAAGAAGCACCGACUAACUCCGUGCCAGCAGCCGCGGUAAUAC
rnacentral:rRNA from 1 species